rnacentral:rRNA from 1 species
GAUGAACGCUGGCGGCGUGCCUAAUACAUGCAAGUCGAGCGAACGGACCAGAAGCUUGCUUCUCUGAUGUUAUCGUCGGACGGGUGAGUAACACGUGGUUAACCUACCUAUACGACUGGGAUAACUUCGGGAAACCGGGUCUUAUUCCCGAUAAUAUUUUGAACCUCAUGGUUCCCACGUUAGAGACGUUCUUGCUGUCACUUAUAGAUUUCUCCGCGCUGAAUUAGCUAGUUGGUAAAGUAACUGCUUACCAAGGCAACGAUGCAUAGGCGACCUGAGAGCGUGAAUGGCCACACUGGAACUGAGACACGGCACAGACACAGAAGGGAGGACGCAGUAGAGAAUCUUACGCAAAGGGCGAAAGGCGGACGGAGCAAGACCGCGUGAGGAAUGAAGGUCCAAGGAUCGAAAAACUAUGUUAGUAGGAAAGAAGAAAUGUGUAAGUAACUGUGAACAUCAUGACAGUACCGAGUCAGAAAGCCACGGCUAACUACGUG